GGAAGAGUAGUGUCGGGCCAUGGCCAGGGCCCGCAGGCUGGAGCUGGCCGAGGCCCUGGCGCUGGGGCCAGGCUGGAGGCAUGCCUGCUAUGCGCUCCUGCACGCGCCGGACCCUGGAAUUCUCUUUGGCCGCCUCCCUCUGCGCUACGCCAUACUGGUGAGGAGGGCGCGCGCCCGGCCACUCUCCGCUCCGGCCUUGCACCUUCCUUGCGGCGCUACUCUCGGGUGUCCCUGCCAAUCCCAGCUUCCUCCUCUCUCAGAUGCAGAUGCGCUUUGAUGGGCGCCUGGGCUUCCCUGGCGGAUUCGUGGACUCGCAAGACAGCAGCCUGGAGGACGGGCUGAACCGUGGUCUGCUGGAACUGCUGGGCGAGGCGGCGGCCGCCUUCCGCGUGGAGCGCCCUGACUACCGCAGCUCCCACGCCGGAUCAGGGCCACGCGUUGUGGCCCACUUCUAUGCCGAAUCUCUGACGCUCGAGCAGCUGUUGGCUGUGGAGGCCAGCGCAACAGGCGCCAAGGACCACGGGCUGGAGGUGCUGGGCCUGGUGCGAGUGCCCAUGUAUACCCUGCGUGAUGGUGUGGGAGGCCUGCCCAUCUUUCUGGAGAAUUGCUUUAUUGGUGCUGCCCGGGAGCAGUUACUGGAUACCCUCCAGGACUUGGGAGUGGUGGAAGCUGGUGCUUUCUCAGGACUUCAGAUCCCAGUUCGUCUGAGGCAACCCUCUGUGGACUCAGGGAAGCUGAGCUGAGGACUUUGGUACAAGGAAGGGAAUGUUUUCUCUUCCGGACCUAAAGACGAUACCAAAUUAAAAGAAGACAUGUACAUCAUAUGUUUUGAGCAGAGGACCCUCCAAUUCAUGGGAUCAGGGGCAAAAAUCCACAGCUCAUCCCAGGGGCCCUGGCAGGUUCUCAGAGCCUACCUCUUCCUUGUACAUUUGCAUACAGCCUGGUAACCCCCAGGCAUGCAUAUGUACAAUGUGACCACACACAGCCUGACAUCUUUCACCUAUCAAGUCCAAUUUAACCAGGAAUUGGCAUGUUACCAUACCCUGCCUCUUGCUUUGCAGAGAGCUUCUACAGCAAGGCUGAGUCCUUCCCACAGUCCUCCAUGGCUGCUCUUUAGGGUUACCCCCAGCCCAUGUUUUUUGGGAAGGAUAGAGAAGCAGAGGACCCUCUUUGCUUUCCUGAAAGUAGCCAUGCCCUUGCUGGAGGGUUCACCACAGCAAUUGGUGGGAAAGGGUCUUCACCAAUCUCCCAACACUUUUCUUCUCCUGAAACUGAGAAGGGGUAAGGAAGUAGCUAGGUCCCCUUGGACGGAGCAUGGACAUGAGACCUGUGAGUACUGGUGUCUCUCCUUCAGAGCUUUCAUCUUUGGUUCGCUGUAGACUCUGGGACUAUCAGAAGAGAACUGACCCAUACCUGUCUAGCACUGCCCUUCCAAAAAAAGAGCCUCCCAUUAAAGAGGGGUUAGAGCUGGGCCUUGAGGCUCUUCACUUCUUUCAACAGAUAUUUAAUAUGUACCUACUAAAUGCCAGGUACUAUAAAAGGUAUAGAGAGCCAUCCUUGCUCUCCAAGACUCCAGGGAAGGGAUGGGCAAACAUUUUCUUAAAAGCCAGAUAGCAAAUACUUUAAGCUUUGUAAACUACAUAGUUUUUUAAAAAAUAUUUUCUAACAUUGACUAAUAAAAAUUGUCUAUGUUUACUGUGUACAAAA
rnacentral:sRNA from 1 species